AGUGAACGCUGGCGGUAGGCCUAACACAUGCAAGUCGAACGGCAGCACAGUAAGAGCUUGCUCUUACGGGUGGCGAGUGGCGGACGGGUGAGGAAUACAUCGGAAUCUACUUUUUCGUGGGGGAUAACGUAGGGAAACUUACGCUAAUACCGCAUACGACCUACGGGUGAAAGCAGGGGAUCUUCGGACCUUGCGCGAUUGAAUGAGCCGCUGUCGGAGUAGCUAGUUGGCGGGGUAAAGGCCCACCUAGGCGACGAUCCGUAGCUGGUCUGAGUGGAUGGUCGGCCACACUGGAGCGGGGACACGGUCCAGACGCCUACGGGAGGCAGCAGUGGGGAAUAUUGGACAAUGGGCGCAAGCCUGAUCCAGCCAGACCGCGUGGGUGAAGAAGGCCUUCGGGUUGUAAAGCCCGUUUGUUGGGAAAGAAAAGCAGCAGGUUAAUACCCCGCUGUUCUGACGGUACCCAAAGAAUAAGCACCGGCUAACUUCGUG
rnacentral:rRNA from 1 species